GGGAGACGGAGACGGGGGAGAGGGAGACGGGGGAGAGGCAGACCGGGGAGAGGGAGAGGUAAAGUUUUUACAAAGUUUCAUUGUAAUACAGAAAAUAAACUCUUGGUGUACCCUUGUAGAAUUACACAGAAGAAAACCAACCAUUCGAUGCCUUUCUUCUUCCAUUCCCAAUCAGAAGGUUGUUUCUGACCCAUUGAAAUAUUACCUAUAAAGAAGACGGGAGCCUCCCGCAGCAGCCUCUAGUGAUCUGAGAGCUGAACCAAGGUUUGAGGCCCAUCUCCAGGUGGUCCUGAAUAUCCGUGCAUCCUGGGACCUUGUUAGGAUGAACUCACCAGAGGCGAGGCUCUGCGUUGCUCAAUGCAGAGACUCUUACCCAGGGUGUCAGCCUCUGAAAGAUACACGUGCCUGGGCCUCUUCCCUGAAGAUGGACCCGGCAGGUCUGGAGGGAGGCCCCUGUGAUGAAUCCCGUGAUGAGCCGCUGAUCCGAGCUCGGGCUGCGUCAUGGGACCAGCCACAAGGUUGCCUGACCUAUAAAGGUCACAGGAGUGCCUCAGGGAGACAGAAGCAGUUACAGCUGUCAGAUACCCUAUCAUCUUUACUCUGUUGGAGAGGAGCUAUAAUGGUCUAUAUUAAAGUUACUGUUCAGACAGAUGAUUCCAACAAAUUGCUUUCAUUACUUUAUUGGUGUGAAACGGAGCCAAUGAUCGCUCAUUGUCGAGGAGAAAAGACCUGGAGACCACGGCUUAUCCAGUCUCGCUCCUGACCUGCAUCUGAACACCUGAAGGAAGAAACUUUAAGAAGAAAAAGACUUCAAGUGACAGAGGAGACAAAAGUCUCAAAGGUGCAGAAUUCAAGAACUCAUGGUGUCUCAGGAUGGGUGUGAAAGUAACAAAUAUGAGAUCCCCUGACAACUAAACCCAGGCAUGUCCAGGAAUCCCGGGAUGCGGUGAAAGUUUUCACAGUGGAGCUCACAGGAAUCCCCAGAUGCCGUGAAAGUUUUCUCAGCGGAGCUCACACCAGCAUUGUCUGGAAGAUUAAAUGUUGUUAUGCUUUGAGAUUGGCACUCAUGCCAUUCAAAUUUUUUUAUUAAGAAGUACAAUGAAAUUUAACUUAUUCCAUUUUUGACACCAAUGUAAUGACCAAAUUAAACUAGAUUUUCAAAAAUAAUCAGAGGCCCUGCCCCGCAAACUCCUCCUGGGCACAGGAAGAUGUGGGGCCAGUCAGUAGUGACUCCUCUUGGGUGCUGAUCCACCAUGCUGAAUUCAGACCGGCACCAGUCCCCUGAGCGCCUCCCAGUUCCUAUGUGAUUUCCUGUCCCUAGUAUAUGAACAUGUCAGCAUUGAUGUGAUCACACAAAUUAUGGGCCAUGACGCAUCUACCACUCUUGCCUGUUGUGAAGGGCUGCCUUUAGUUGUCUUGCAAAGAGCACUUAUACCUCUUCCCUACGGCACAGAAGCCCUGGGUCUGGGGUGACAGGGGCAGAGACCUGCCUGUCCUCCAGCCACCCAAGACCAUGCUUCUGUCUGUAGGUUCCCCCAAUAAAACACCCUUUACUGACAGAU